UGUCCAAUCAGCUGCGAGUAAGGUGGGGCAAUAGACAAGAUUCACCGGGAGCGAGUGAGAGCUACCGUCUGCUUGGACUCAACAACACGAUAUCGCCAUCCUAGGUGGGCAUGGAGUCCAAGAUUUGGGAAGAGUGAGACGACGUUACACGGUACAAGACACAGGACAGGACAACUCCCAUGGCUGCUACAACCAGUAGCAGAACUGAAACCAGACCAGGCUGGGUUGCUUUUUCAGAUGAGGAGUCAAAGGCAGGUGAGGACCACCUCCCGCCUUUAGACCAGCCUGUGCUGGACUCCUCUACUUGGGCAGAAGUACCAUUUCUGUCUGGUCCGACAGCAGAGCAGCCGAAUUCUUGGGUUCAGUUUGAUGACAAAGCAUGGCCACCCUCUCUUCCUCUCCCAUCACAAGUAGAGGAUUGUUUUAUUGCAGGUCCCAGGCAUAGCAUUUGCUCUUCUGCCAGUUUCUGGAGUGCCGUUCCCCCAUCAGAGAGCGGCUGGACCACCCAAUCAGAGGAGCAGAGCUCUGUGAGCAUGGGGGCGUCUUCCUGUGACCUCCCAUCUCUUAACACUGAAGAGCCUUCCAGUCAAACACCCUCCUGUCCCCACUCUCCUAAUUCUUCUGUGUGCCAAGAAGAUGAAGGAAUGAACAUGGAUUCAUUCAACUGGACAGCAAACAACCAACACACCAAUGGCCAAGCUUAUGUCACCUCCUACCGCUUUGCCAGCUGGGUCACUUUUGAAGAUGAUGAGGACUCCGUUUUCCAACCUCCAGGGAGACAGUCUAAUAUAAAACUGGAUAACCUCAACAAUCCUCCUCUGCAGGAUGCCAACAGCAAUCUGAUCUCCUCUUCUUCUUGUGGCCAGAAGACAGAGGGACACAUCCUGGGCUUGACCCCUGAUGGCACUAAUGCCAUGUUUGCCUUUAAUAGCACACUAUCAAACAACAGCGUUCCUUACAACAAGAAAAACCCUUUCCUGGAUGAUGAGUUCUCAAACCUACAACCUUCUCCUAUUAACCCAUUCAGUGCCUAUUUUGACAAUACAGACCUGAAAACAUCCCAAGGCAUUGGCUUGUGUCAGGAGGUAUCAGAUGUGUCCACCUUCAGCUCGCCAUUCUUUGAGUAUCAAGAUGCUGAUAUAAAAAGGGAGUCUCUGUUGCUUUUUUCAUCACAGAAAGACUCUGUAGUUGCAAAACAUAGUAUCCCAUCAGGAUUUCCUGUAGAUGGUCUGGAUCAGCUCAGGAAUAUACACAUCUCUGACCCUGACAAUGACUGUAGUCCUACUCUACCAGAUGAUUCAGUGGAGGUAGUUGACUCUGAUGAUUCAGCCUAUAAACCAGACCAUAUGACUCCUCAGGAAGGUUGGCCCAUGCUCCUGCGCAUCCCUGAGAAGAAGAACAUCAUGUCCUCACGUCACUGGGGACCAAUAUUUGUCAGGUUGACGAACAGUGGCCAGCUGCAACUAUUCUAUGAGAAAGGACUGGAAAAGCCUUUCAAAGAGUUCCAGCUGAACUCUCAGCAUGAAAUAUCUGAACCUAAGCUCCAAAACUACGACGAGAAUGGCCGUGUUCAUACCAUCAGUGUAGACCAUGUGGUUUACAAAGAGAAAAGGAAGAUCCAGCCCAAGGUCACUGUGGUUCAUAUGCCUGUAAGAGAGCAAGUGGUAAAGCUUGGGACAACACACUACCAAGACUUCUUGAGCUUUCAACAUACUCUGCAGGAGAGGCUUGUGGGCCUCUCAGUAGAUCAAGAAGGUCUAAACUUGCCAACGACUUACACUGAGGAGGAGAUCCAUGUGGAGGUGAGGGAUAACUUCUAUGGGAUUGUCUCCAAAAGGGACAGCCGUAUCUUGGAGCAGCAAGUUAUGACCCGAGUGUAUAUGCUUGCCUUCUUGAAUGGAUCCCCACCUUGCAGUAUCGGCCUAAAUGAUGUCAAGGUCAAAGGUAAAGAGGUGGUUUCUCGGCAUGACAUAAUUCCCAACUCAACAUCACGUUGGAUUCAACUGCGGGAUAGUCGACUGCAUGAGUGUGCAGACCAGUUAGAGUUUGCAGAGUCCCAAGCUAUUACAUUUAGUCCACUGGUUGGUCGUCGCUUUGAACUGCUGCGUUUCCGUACGGCAUUUGCUGAAAAAUCCCUUCCAUUCACUCUGAGAACAGUCGCUUGUGUCAAGGAUGCUGAAGUGGAGAUGCAGUCCUGGCUGGUGAUGUCAACAGGGUUUUCAUCCAAUCGGGAUCCUUUAACAUUAAUACCAUGUGAGAAUGUUGCUAUCCGUUACCCCAUACCAGAAAUUUGGGCAAAGAACUUUAAGCGGGAGAGUGUGACAGGAGAGAAAUCCUUGAAGGCUCGCUUCAAUAAAGGAGCCAGUUUUGGUUCGACCAGUACGUCAGGUUCCGAACCGGCCAUGAGGGUCACGUUUGGCACAGCGAAAUAUGAACAGGCCUUCAGAUCUGUAGUGUGGAGGAUCAGUCGCCUGCCAGACAAGAACUCAGCACUCGGACAUCCUCAUACGUUCUUCUGUCAUUUGGAGCUGGGUUCAGAUUGGGAGGUGCCUGCAAAGUUUGAGUGCCUGGUGGAGGUUGAGUUUGACAUGCCCUCUGCUUCUGCAUCCAGAACCACUGUUCGUUCUCUGUCCGUGGGGGACAGAACUGACUUGAAGAAAUGGAUCACCUACAAAUCACAUUACUCCUAUCAGGUGGCAGUGGAGCAGAAGAAUGAGAGCACAUUGGAAAGCCCUCAGAAGUAGCAACCAGGCCAGUGCCCUCAACAGUGAGGAACAAGGAGGAGAGGAAGGUUUAUAGCUUGCACUUGUUGAACAAGAGAAUGUUCAACCCUAAACUAGGGUGCUGAAUGGCUUUCCUUAAUAUUGUCAAGUGCUUCACCAGAGAUUUUUCUACUUCUGAAUCAGGGCUAUUUGGCCUUUUUCAGGACAAAGACCAAUGUUUCAUAUUACAUACAAUUGCAAGUGUAUGAUACAACCAAAUGUUAAAAUAACAUGCAUAUAGUACAAUUUUACAUCUGAUGCUUACAUUGCAAAGCCAUUAGAUAAUUUUAGGCUUAAAUCACCAGUUUUCUUAGAUAAUGUUGUUAGAGAAAAAACAGUUUGGAUGCUGGGCUAUUCAGUGACUGAGCUGCGGUGUAGGCAGUCAUCAGUUUGCACUAAAUAGAUCGGUCUAGAACAUUUAUUAUUGUACAGCGGUAAUAGAACCAGGGCUUUAACUUUCAUAGCUGUCUGCACUUUCAGACAUUUUCACAUUUAUCCUCAAAUUUUCUGGGUAAUGAUCUGACUUUUUGCUUUUAUAUGCCCUCUUUCCCAUUAUUAAUUUUUGUCCUGCAUUGGUCUUUUUGUAUAUGCUUUGUUGCUGCUACAAUAUACAGAUGAUGUCAGAUAGGUUUGUGAUAAAUAUCAUGAACCUAUACUUUUCCAGUCUAUAGCCUGAAUCUAAAAUGUGAAGAAAGUAUUAGCCCCUCAAAUGAUCGUAGUCAACAUUUCAUGGGUUUCCAUAGUUACCAUCUCAAAAUUUGAAAUGCGGCAGAUGUGAAGGAAAGGUCCGCUCGAGACUAAGACCUGCAACUUUAUUGUAUUUUCCUACGCUGAUGAUAUAGAGGAUCCUGGAUAGGCUUGAGCGUUCUGAACCCGUGAUAUUUUGGAAAAGUAAUAGCUUUGAUCUAGAGAGAAAUUAGGACUUUUUUUUUUAUUCUGCAGAGCAGCAAUUUCCCAGCGCUUGUCGAGUGACACUAGUUGAAGCAGAUAUUGAUCUGGCAGAGGUUUCUCUCCUGCAGGGACAGCGCCUUUGAGGAUUCUUACAUUCUUAAUAAUUCAUCCUCUGUCUGCACAUGCAUAAAUGUGAUAGGGUGAGACUAUUUCAGGAGAUUCAGUUGAACUAUAGUCAUUUUAAUUCAAUAUCUCCAAAGCUCACAUGGACUGUUCUCAAGGUUCAAAGUUAGAUUUUUUUCCCCAGUUAAUAUUAUUUUUAACAGAAGCUGUAAAUUUAUGUUUUUAUAAUCACAAACAUGAACAAGUGAUUUGUUACAAUCUAACUUUAGAUAGAUAGAUAGAUAGAUAGAUAGAUAGAUAGAUACAGUAGAUAGAUCUUACCCAGCAGAGGGCGCCAACAACAAACUUUAUUUAAAAAUGGAGAGCGAUGACUCAACAGCUGCUUCACCCUAGUUGUCCACACACUGACAGAUGCUUUUCUUGGGCUACAUUUUUGAAGUGGUUUGUAUUCAUCUGCAGAGUAUUUCAUCAGUAUAUAAUGUUUCUAUGUGCUAAAUAUGGUCCUUUUUAACUCAGUUUGGCUCAACUUCUGCCAUAACUCCUAUAUACGAUGGCAUAAAAAAAACUGACAAAUCACCAUGUCCAAAAUUUACUGUAUGUCCUAUUUUUGUCAGUUUGUCAUAUUGAUGUGGCAUGCAGUGCGUGUGAUGAAUCCACAUUAUUGAUUUCUUCUGGGUGGGUUAAUGUUCUGCCGGUGUGGGUGGCAUACACACUGUGCGCUGCCAAGAUGGUUGGCACAACCAUCUGGCCAGCAAAGCCGAGGGCACUGUAGCGGAUCUUAGCGUGUUCAGAAUGUCCUAUCAAGCCGUCUGCAUGUUUGUUUAUCAGUCUUUUUAUUUGUCAAUUUGCUGUCUGUCUGGGAACAGAAGAAGGUCAGGGAAGACUGCCAAACCUACAAAAUGACCCUGUUGACCAAUAAAGUGCCAAAGCUAAAACUCGGAUCACAGAUCAAAGAUUAUGGUGUUCCCGGUUGCAUCAUGGUCUCACGAUGUCUUAAUUUAAUAUGAAAAUGCUGUCAUUUAUUCGCUCUCAUGUUAUUCCAAACCCAUCUGAGCAAGAAUUUAAAACAAACACAAACUUAAUUUACUAGUGCUUUUUUUGAAAUGCCGUUAUAGUUAAAGGGGGGGUGAAAUGCUAUUUCAUGCAUACUUUUUUACACCGUUAAAGAGUUGGAUUCCUAUGCUAAACAUGGACAAUGUUUCAAAAAUUAAGUUGUACAUUUGAAGGAGUAUUUCUGUUACAAAAAUACUCCUUCCGGUUUGUCACAAGUUUCGUAAAGUUUUUUUCGAGUAUGGCUCUGUGUGACGUUAGAUGGAGCGGAAUUUCCUUAUAUGGGUCCUAAGGCACUUCUCCAGGAAGAGCACGCGCUCCCGUAUAGCAGAGCACUGAGAGCACAA